CUGGGGUUUAAAGUGCGUGUAGGCGGGGAGGCAAGUCUGAUGUGAAAGCCCUGGGCUUAACCCGGGAAGUGCAUUGGAAACUGUCUUUUCUUGAGUUCUGGAGAGGAAGGGGGAAUUCCCGGUGUAGAGGUGAAAUUCGUAGAGAUCGGGAGGAAUACCAGUGGCGAAGGCGCCCUUCUGGACGGAUACUGACGCUGAGACGCGAAAGCGUGGGGAGCAAACAGGAUUAGAUACCCGCGUA
rnacentral:rRNA from 1 species